AGGAAAGUAGGGGAUCGCAAGACCUUGCGCUUUUGGAGCGGCCGAUGUCUGAUUAGCUAGUUGGUGGGGUAAAGGCUUACCAAGGCUUCGAUCAGUAGCUGGUCUGAGAGGACGACCAGCCACACUGGGACUGAGACACGGCCCAGACUCCUACGGGAGGCAGCAGUGGGGAAUUUUGGACAAUGGGGGAAACCCUGAUCCAGCCAUGCCGCGUGAGUGAAGAAGGCCUUCGGGUUGUAAAGCUCUUUCAGCCGGAACGAAAAGGUCAUGGCUAAUACCCGUGACAAAUGACGGUACCGGAAGAAGAAGCACCGGCUAACUACGUGCCAGCAGCCGCGGUAAUACGUAGGGUGCAAGCGUUAAUCGGAAUUACUGGGCGUAAAGCGUGCGCAGGCGGUUUUGUAAGUCAGAUGUGAAAUCCCCGGGCUUAACCUGGGAACUGCGUUUGAAACUACAAGGCU
rnacentral:rRNA from 1 species